rnacentral:misc_RNA from 1 species
AGGCAGGUUCAACUCAGAAAUAUCUGCAGGGAAAAAACAAAUGUAGUAUAAGGAAACGCUAGGAAAAAAGUUAGUUGAUGAUAUUUCUUGGUUUCUAAAACCAGAAGGAUAAGACAAACAUCAUUGAGCAGCAUAUUCAAAGACUCAAUCCACUUCCUCAAAGAAGCAUUAUAAAGACUUAUUCCAUAAAGCUUGUCAUAUUUGUACCAUGAUAUCUAUUUAAUGAUUACUUCCCUAUUAAAGUACCAAAAGCAAAUAGAUAUUUGUAUGCAUUCCUUUUGCCUUUCCAUUUCCAAACGUUCUGGAAAUUUCUGCCCAAGAUCACAUGAUCAACAAAUGUAUUCGACAAUACCUUUGCUAUUUCCCUAAGAUUCCUAGCACUAGUUUAACAAUUGCAACAACUCAAAAAAUGAUCUGCAAUAUCUCUUGAACACCUUUCAACUAUAUCCAU